GAAGUGAAAGUGGAAAUUCGUGAGUGGUGAUUUGGAUAUUUUGAGCUGGGUUAAGUCUUUAAAUCAACUAGAAUUUUACAUUUGAUACUUAAGUGUUUGUCGUAGACCGUUAUGCUCUCGAUGGGUAGCUUUCAAUGAUUAUGUAUCAGUGGAUUUACGCUGCAAUCGUGAUUAUAACAGGGAGAACUUGUGUGCAAAAACUUCCAAGAAGAUUAGCCGAAAAAGAAACGCACAGGUGGCAUUAAAUGUGUCCAAUGCUGUUGUCAUAACAAUUCAGAUACCUCUGACAGCCAGGGGUGCAGAUUCAAGAUUGGAUGUUCUAUAUGAAAUUAAGACAGGGAUAUUUUCUGUGAGGAAUGUAUAAGACUUAGCAUCAUCAUUAUGACAACACAGUUGUGGGUCAUUAAAAUUUAAGUGGAUCCAACAUGGCUGGAACUUGUUUAAAGAUUGUUCGACUGGAAUAUGUGUCCACUGAGAAAAUCACAGAGACUGAAACUGUUGGAGAAUAUUUGAUGACUUGUUUUUGAAUUUCUCGUCCCCUUUCAUGAAAGGAACGGUACUCAACUGAACAAUGCAACUGUACAUGCCCAUUACAGAAAAAUACUGAUAUAUAUGCAAAAACAAAUAUAGUCUGUUAGUCAUUGUUUACAAACUCAUUUUUAGAUAAAGCUUGAACAUAUAAUUGAAGAUUGUUUAAGGGCAGAUGAUACAAACAAUUUUUUCUUUCGAAGAGACUUUAUAUGAUGUCAUUCUUUUAUAAAAGUGGAUAAUUCCUUGAAUUCUUUUCCCCUUUGACUUGGAGAGUGAAAUAUUUUCCGUAUUUCCAAAAAAGUACAAAACAAUAGUUAUCAUGGUAAACUAGUCUAUUCUUCAUUUGUUUACCUUUUCUAUGCCUAAAAAAAUGGUUGUCGGGGAGAACAGAGUGUACUGAUAUUAGAUUUACAACAUAACAUGUAAAAUAUUAAUGCAUUACAAAUUUUACACUUGGAAAAUAUCAAUUGCUGCUUCAAUAAAAUUACAUAUAUGGACAUUGCACCCUCAGUAAAGGUUUACAAAUUAAAAUAAACUUCAUAAUAUGUUGACUUAAUGUUUAAAGUGUAAUAUAAACUUAAAAAUCAUAUACCAUACGGGGUGAAUUUUCUGAGUAGAAGCAAAAUUGUAAAAAUCACAUUGGUUGAUUUUCUAAAGACAAAGAAGAGUUAUCUCCCAUAAUAUAAGAGUAAAAUUUUACAACUUCUGAAAAUAAUUUACAAUGACAUUUAUGAUUUUACUGUUCGUUGUUUUUUGAUUUUGUUUUGUUUUGUUUAUGUUUUUGUUUUGUCACUCUUGAUUUUCCUUUGCUAUUCAUCUCUGAAAAAAAUAAAGAAAUGCCUAAUACAGGAUCUCUUUGAUGUGCCACUUUACGUUAGUUUCUGCAUUAUGACGUUUCCCAGUAGAAACAGGAGAAAGAUGGCUGCAUGCUUCCUGCUGACAUCUCAUAUAUAGCAAUGAUCCAAGUCCAUACCGUUUUUCGUACUCACAAUGUCUUAUGCGUUGUUAAAUCUAGUGGUCUACCACAUGCAGCACAACCUUUUUCCAAAUUGUCCACUAGAAUUCCAAGUUCCACAACCCGUCUCCCACUUCUCCAUCAAAUCACCUCCUCAUGUUCUUCUUCCGAUUCUUCACUCUCUGAUUCAUCAGAUGGAUAUGUGUCUUCAUUUCCUAGGCAUUCUUGUGAAUUAUCACCAGUCGAACAAUUUUUUCUUGAUUCAUCCAACUUCUCCUCGAUCACAUCAACAUUCACUAUCUUACGUCCAAGGGAUAAUGCAUAACCUUUCGUAGCAUUCUGUAACCUUUGAUGACGUUUUUUACCAAUAAUUUUUCCUGAUUAUUUCCUCCUGAAUGAUUCUGGCACCAUAAUUGUUUACAUUGUUUACUGACCCCCUUCCUGCUCUUAAAACACAGAAGAGUUCCAAACAACUAUAAAUGAGAAAACCAAAACCAACCAAACUAUUUUUUACCAUGGAAACUCUUCAGUGCUAAAGGUAGAAAAAUUUGUUUAUAUCAUCUGGCCUUAGUAUAUUUUCUGGACUGACUGAGAGCUUCACAGACUGUAAUUUAAAAUGUGCAAUUUUAAUCUAAUAGAAAACAAUCAGGAUAAGUCUGACAGAAACAGGACAACUUUAAAUUCAUAUUCUUAAUAUAACCAAGAUGGACACAACAUUUGCUUUUAAAAACAAAAUAAUACCCCACCCCCACCCCGAAUUGGAAAUUGAGCAGUAUUUUUUGUAAUGCAUGCAUCUUAUAAGUCAUUCAUCUACAUGUAUGACACAUAAAAACAUAUCAUAAUUUUGAUACAAAACCAAAACCUGUUUUUAACAACAGCAAUGGAUGUUUUGGGAAUUUUAAUGAGCAUUGAUUUUGCAUUGCAAAUCCUUUUUAAUGCCAUCAUCACAGAAUCUGGUAUUCAUGGAAAUGAAUGAAAUUAUUUGCAACAAAGUAAUUAGAAAAGUGCACUUAUGUACUUAUGGAGAAAGUACUGACAAAAGCCAAAAGGCCAACCCUAUUCAGUUGAGUUUUUUCCCACUAAAGUUGGAUUAAUCGAGAAAUAAAGAAAUGAAACGAAAGGGUGGUGUAUUGGUGUAAAUAGAUUAUGACCUAAGUAACAUCAUCGUUCUGGUACCUUGCAGCUUUAGUUGACAAACAAAACAAUUUAGAAAUCGUUAGUACAUAUGUAUGUGGGUAGCUGAUAAAAAUCAGUGUCAAGAAAAUGUUGGGAAAAGAGUGCAUACCCAGUCAUUAAUAUACUACAGUUACAUGUAGCUGCUACAGUUCCUAUAAUAUUUAAUGUUUCCAAGGAGACAAAAGAGUCAGAUUACCAACAUUUUCAUAACAGGACUUUUGGACUAGCUAUCCCUGGUCAAAACUGACUCAACUGAGUAUAAGUAAGUAAAAUACUUGUAGUUUAAAAUGUAAAUGAAAAGAAAUCUAAAUCGCCAACAUAAUGUUUCCAUGGGAGUAGUUUUCUAUAGCAACUAUACUACAAAUUGAAUUCCUUCUUAAUUAGUAUAUUUUAACAAGCCUAUGAAUACAAAGAAAAAGUUAUGAUCAUGAUGAUAUUAUAGAAUAAAUCUACUGAAGUACAUGUACAUUAAAUUGUUUUCAAUGAAUAUGGUUGCUGGCCCUAUCGUUUCCAUAGUAACACAUUUUUCUUCAUAUUUUCCCCUUUGUAAUAAUUAAAUUCAAAUGAUUAAACAGUCAUAUAAUGCUUUUACAGGAAAUACCUAGAGAUAAAUUUAUAUGUAAUUUUAUCUUGUGAAAAGUAAAAAUUCUAUUCAAUACAAAGUAAUUCAAACACAUUAAAAAAAAUUAAUUUUCAUUUUAAAUGUAAUAAUCUUCUACCAAUGCCUUUUGACUUGAAGAUUUUGUUAAAUGUUUGCUACACCAACUAAUCCAACUUAUGACUAAUCCAUGGACAUUAUGAAAUGUGUACUUUAUAACAAAUAUUAAGAUUAUGAUAGAACACUUUCACUUAAUAAUAGGCACACACACGUUUCUGCUUCCUGACACAAAUCAGUUUUAUAGUCAGCACUUUUCUUCAAAACUUAAAGGAACCAUAUACAUGUAUCUUAUAAUGGUUGCUAUGGUAACAAAAGAAUUAAUCAUUUAUAUUGCUAAUUUAAGCAGACUUUUACAUCAAUUUAUAUGUUCAAAUAUAAUAUGACAAUGAGUUUACACUAUCACAUGGUAAUAAGCAGACCUGAAAUGCUUUCUGAUACAAAUUAGCAUACUAGUUUACUUAUUAAAACCUUGUUAUAAAAUACUGAAAUAUGGUUGCUAUGGAAACUGAAAUAUUUCAUAACAUGAGAAUUCAUGGUAAUUACCAUUGUUUAUGCCAAAUUUAAUAGAUUAAGGAUAUUAUAUUGAUAAAUUAUAAAAAUUUGAUUCAUAUAUUCAUAUUAUGAGAUUUUUCAUAUUACCAUGGCAACCAAUUUUUCAACCUAUAUAAUUUUAUUUAGCAAAAUAAGACAUUGGUCGUUUUUUUUAAAUAUUUUACACAUAAUGGGAUGAAUUAAAUCAUGUAUAACUUUCA